AUAACAUAAGAAUCUUUAAAAGAUGAGAAAAUUCGUUUAACCGGUAUCACCGACGGGUGGAUGUGUAUGUAGCCUUUUGGUAUGUGACUGUGGUGAACCCUAUCUGUGGAUACGACUUUAGCCAAACGUGACGAAGUGAUAGGAACUGUGAACUGUAUACUAUGUAUUGCAAACUGUGAACUAUGAGCCGAAUUGAGACGUAUUCACAUGGUAAAGAAGAUCCUUACUAAUCUCGUUGAUGCUGAC
rnacentral:lncRNA from 1 species